rnacentral:misc_RNA from 1 species
GAGAGAGAGAGAGAAACUAAAGAAAAUAACAUCCAUGAUAGACUAGCAAAAGGACCAUCAAUUUGAAAUUUCUACAUGAUCUUCACUUUUUGCUUGGACAUUGGGAUAAGAUAAUGGUCAAAUGACCACAAAAAUUCUUACCUGAGCCAUGUUUCUAAUUUUAACCAAUCCUUUUAUUUUUUCAAUUUUAAUUCCAACUUUUGAUGUUGGUAAAAUUAUAGCCAAUUGAAUAAAAUUGACAAAAAAAUGUUUUCUUUUAAUCGCUGACUUGAAUAAAAAACUAAUUUUUAAUUGAUUCUUUGUUUUCCCCUCCGUCUCCAACCAUUCUCAUCUCCCCUCUCUCCUUCCUCAACCCUCUCUCCACCUUGUGUCAACCCUCAACAACAUUUAAAUUUUCCGCUCUUUUAUGGCUUCUCUCUCUUUUGUCUUUCACUUUCUUUCAACCACUACUACGCAAGAAAACAGAAAUCCAACUCCAACAACUUGGCCGUGCAAAACUUCUUAUCUAUCACUAUCAUCCUGCAGAGGUUAACUGCAACCUUCUGCUACUAAAACUAACUUUUCUUUCUCCAAAUUCCAUGAGUUCAAUAUAAUUUAUCAAAUUACUAAACCAAUUUUCUAUGCAUUUAAUUUAUGUUUCCAUAGAAAAUUAAAAUUUCUCCAAGCUCACACUGCAAAGAAUUUUAAAGCUCAAAACAAAUUAGAGAAACAUGUAGAAGUAAUGGUUCACAUCAGGCAUCUGUAAGAACUAGAUUUAACAAAAAGAUAUAGGGUUUAAAGGGGGGAGAAAAAACAAAACAAAACUUGUUUACUCAUUAGCAAAAAGAAGGGGAAAAAAAUCAACCUUUUGUAGCUAAAUAGUGACCAAAAACAGAAAUCACAAGAAUCAAACAACGCAGCUUCAAUUCCUAAUGUGAUAGAGAGGCAAAAUUCAGCUUUCAGUCUGCUCUUAUCAGCUUCCGAUAAGUCAAUAAACUAUAAUUAAAAGAGAAUAAAAAUAAUCAAAUCAAAUCCCCAAUCAAUUGAAGGUCCCAAUAAGUAUUUGAUGCAAACAAUCUAAAUAUUGAGCAUUCACUUGUGUUGCCACAUUUGAAGCGAAUGAAUAUGAAUUGGAGAAUAAAAGUAAAAGAAAUGAAAGGGAAAGCAAUAAUUGAAUAUACCCUGGAUGGAUCGACUUUAGGGAAACUCUUGACAACAUCGAGGACUCUCCCGAUGACCUGUUCCUUGCUGAGAUGAUCGUCAUGUGAUGACAUUAACCGGAUACAACUAGAGAAGCUCCAUGGUUGAGAUUUGCGACUGGCUAGGGCUAGCGUUUGUACGGGGACCCGGAGCUGGCGAAGUAGGACUGCUCUCAAUGCCAUUUCUCUCUCUUCCUCGUUUCGGUUUGCUACUUCGGUUGAUUUGGGAAGUUAUGGGCACAUGGGCACUUGGGCAGUAAACCAUAAUAGCCAGACUGGCAACUCGAGAGUCACGUACUAUGCACGUGCCUC